UUUUUUUUUUUCCCAUUUUUUUUUCCCUGAUUUGAUGUUAUAGCUUAUGUGAUUGGCCACAGUUUCUGCAACCAUAGAUUAGAAUAAGCAAGGCAGCCACUCAGAUUAUGAAAAAUGGCAGUAUGUUGGCUGGAGUUUGGUAUACGUUUCCUAUCGGAACUGACUCUUCACACACCGGACCUCAGAUUCUAGAAGGCUAAGGGCCAUAGGAGUUAGCUGCAUAUUGAUAACUGUAGAACUCUUCCUGUAAAUCGGGAACCUGAAAACGCUUGAGGACAUUUAAUCCCAACUACGCUAACCUCAAGAGUCACUGGCAUGUAUUUUUCUGUGACAUUGAGAGACAAAGUAUUAAUCCAGGACACAUCAUCUCAAAGCUGACAUACGCGUCUACGUUCAUCUCCGAAAGUAUAUGAAUUGCAUAUAUUUUGUUCGCAUUCAACGAGUCCAUUUAUGCAGGAAAACAAAGGCUACUUCUAUUCCAUUUGGGGUUACCAGACAAAUUCCAUCCCCUGAUCUCUCUCCAUCAAGAAACUGGUGAUUCAGAUGAGAAGUUCAAUCAGAAUUGGUGAUUUGGAUGAUGGGUUGUCACCUGAAUGGACUGAUACUCUAAAAUUACCCACUGCCAAGGUGAAAAUGCCUCCAUCCAAAGCUGUAGAAUUCCUUAUUAAGGUUAGUGUGGCAGCUACAAAAUUACACUUAUAGAUACAGGACAUUUAACAUUUCCGGGCUGUCUUUCUAAGGGGACGGGUGCGGUCUCCAGGCCCACUACUCUCUCAUGUGGCUCUUCAUCUCAGAACUCUGGCGGGAAGCCAGAACUCUCCAGGUGUAGCAUUCCACAACAUUCACAGGCAGUUCGAAGCAUGAGGUUAUCCACUCGCACGCACAGACACCCGUGUACACGCACACUCACACCUAUGUACACACAUCAAAAGAGAUAGUCAGCUCAUAUUUAGUCUAGGAAAAAAAAUAUAUUUAUAUCACGGCAAUGGCACACCCUGGGUAAAAUGUUACUUCAGCAAUGCAUAUCAGAGGCAGCUCAUGGGAACUGGCUUUGUUUCGUGUGGUGGCACCUAACCUGGUGUCCGUUGUAAAACCUGUAGCCUUCGGUCACUCGCUGCCACACCAAGGCAGCAGUGACGUCCAGGAAUGAGAUAUGGAAAUACAUAUAAAUAAAACCACAAGGAGUUUAGGAACAAGGGCUCUGCAGAGCUGGUGCCGCGAGACAGUACAUUCCGCAAUGCAACUGGAGAACACGCGCUAAACUGUGCACGUUUGCUGUUUCUUUCACUGGGAAAGCAGGUUCGAACGUCACACCUUUAUUCUUUUCAGGUAUGGGUCUUGUUUCAUCAGUGUCUUUGCUCCAGGGUUGGCUGAGCAGAAGCAGAAGAAACACAUUUCGAAGGGACUGGGGUGGGGGGGGGGGUGUUGUUUUCUUCUGUGGGCUUUGUAAUCAACAGGAAGGUCUGUGAGGCCAAGAUAGCGGAAUCUACUCCCUGUAGAGAAAAGAACAAGAUUUUAGACAAAACAGCAGCCAGUGUUGCCAAGCCAGUUGUCAGCCCAUAUUGCAAGGAAGAAGAAAAGCACAUAGAUGUUGGUGUGGCUCGGAACGAAGGAGUUGAGGAGGGAAGCAUGUGAGUUCUUGCUUUCCUCCUCUGAAAAAUGACAACUAUAGUAGCAACAAGAAUAAAUAUCUUAAUUAUAACAACUCGAGGCAGGUACCAUCUUACCCCUACCAUGUGGAUGGGGCCAUCAGAUCAUAGCAAAGCUGAGCAACCUGCUCAUGGUCCCAUCCUACCUACACUGUAAAGGGGCAAAGCUUGGAUUAGAACUCACAAAGUCUGAGUCUACAGCCACUCCUACCCACUACGUGAACAAGCUCUCUGUGAAAUGAAAAUCCUGACUUGGGGGACUUGUGCCAGAGGAGAAAGGCUUAGAGUUGGUACAAGGAUGUAAAAGAUUGUACUACUGGGAAAGGCCCAGAUGCUAGCAUUCCGCCUUUCCAGAAAGGGAAAUUAUGUAUCUUGGGGACAAAUCUGGAAACACCACUAUCUGCCAAUAUUCAAUGACAUGACUGAGACACGCAAACCAAGAAAUAAAAAGCAUUGGAUGUUUUUCCUAAAAAGUGACUUCUAACAAAUGAGAGUAUCUAGUAAAGGACUCAUAUGAGCUGCAUGUAACAGGCACGGAGAGGGAGCACCGGGGCCACGGCACAGGGAGAUGCUUGGCAUGCCAGUGAGUAAAGCUUUGGGGGCUCAAGCCCACCAAGACCUAGUCAGUCUCAACUGUCCCAUCAGUCUAGAGCAGAACAAGAUCAGCACGACACAAUGGAAUCGUCGUGGCUCCUCGCUGUCCUCUCAAUAAUCAACGUGAACCAAAAUUUCAAUAAACAAUUGCUCUUCUUUCCUUUGUGACAACAGACCACCAAGAUCGCUUCGGCACAGUACCUGCCACCCCACUGGGUGUGUUUGGCAGCAGAUGACCUCAGGUAGAGAGCAAGGAUCAAGAUUAGAAUGGAUCUCUACAGACAGGUUUGCUUAUUUCGUACAUAUGUGUGAGCUAGAAAUCAAAUUUAGUUUCUUGGAGGUACAUAACUAUUAUUUAGACUUGUCGGAAAUAGGAGAGAGAGAAAUCUUAUAAGAAGUUUUCUUAUAAAAUGUUCAGACAGAGAUUACUUUCUUAAGCAAUCCAAAAUUCCAAAUGUGGGUAAGGUUAUAAACUACCACACCCCUCAAGAAGCCAUUUGUCAACACCAUUCAUUUUGAUAAUUAUGAAGAGAACAAAAUAAAAGGACCUGGAUCUACUUUUCCAGCUCUGACUUCUCUAGAAAUUAGUAAGUCUAUCAAACGCAGUGUUUGAAACCCGGCUUUGCAGGCCUCACACCGGGCAGGCGUGUAUUUACAGGCAGGACAUGGAGAACACGAGUAGGACCUUAGCACUGGUGGAGCACAAUCAACACCAGAUGGACAUGCACACUUUUUUGAAGAUGAUUUUGUUUUGCUGCUAGAAAUCCCAUUUUUAGAGGAGAGAAAGGAGUCCCUGAAACAUGUCUGUCCCCUGUCAGUUUACCAAUACUCUUCUUCACUAAACGUCUGGAUAUGAAUAUACGUUACGACAGCAGUUCGUAACAGGAAGUGGGCUAUUUGGGGACUCAUUGUGGAUAUCAAAAGGGUUGGAUGUGUGAAAGGAGAAGGGUGGGAAUGUGAAGGAUUAUAUCUAGUUGGUGCCAGAAUAUUCUAGAGUGGAGAAAAAUAAACCUUUGCUCCUUUGAAUUCAGACAACUCCUUAUUGGUGGGGAGCUGCUUGAACAAAGACCAAAGCGUGUGGUCUACGCAGCAUAAUGAGAUAAAGAUGUGACUUUCGUUAUGACUAAAUAAACAGAACAUGGUUCCUUUGAACCCGUUGUGAAAACAUCAAAGUGUCUCUACCAUCCAGUCUUUUCAUUACAACGGGGUCUCGCCCGUGCGUUUCAUUCUUUACAAUUAUAAAAUAACAAUGUCAUGAACUUCAAGGCUAAAUGACAAAGGAGUAUUGGAUAGGUCUGGCACCUUCUGUAGAGAAAAAUGUUUAAAUCAAACCCUCAUAAGUCUGCUCAAAAGUGAAGCAGCUUCAUCUGCAUGGCUCCUACCAUUGAACUUCAUUUCACCCCACUCUGGUGUGUCACAAUACAACACUGGGGUUUGCAAGCGAAAGGUGGAUGAGUAGUAACACUUGGAAAACCUUGGAGGAAGAGUACACCUUCCUCCUGUGAAGUUCAGUGCAUUCUACAUAAGAGCAUUUCAUAUACACUUACAAUAACACCAUGGGUUAGGAAAGGUGUUAUUAUUUAAGUAUCAUUAUCUCUAUAGGUGGAGGGACUGAAUUAUAAAAAAACAUGGAGUGAAUUUCUCAGUGUCAACAUCUUAGUUGGCCUUAGAACCCAUAGCUGUCUAGAUGCCAGAGCCUGGCUCCAUGCCCUGGGAAACAAUGCAACGUUCUUUGUGUCCUCCCAUUCAUUCCUCUUAGAAAAUGUGUAACUUCACAGAAGCAGUGGAGUUUCACUUUCUACUGCUACUAGAUAUGAUUUCAGGUGCUUUUUUGCCCUUUCCACUGGCCUGGACUCUAACUCAUACAAUGGGUUAAAGUUAAGAUUCAAAAGGCAACCUUUGACUAUAAUAAGAUUUCCGUUCUUGCCUGAUUAUUCUGUGUGUACACCAUGAUUGUGCCAUAAUGUCCAGCAUUAACUUGUUAGGGUACCUUACAGCUGACACACACUCUCUCUCUUUUGAAGUGUUUUGCUUUGGGUAUGUUCAGUGUGUAGAAAAAUACCUCAUCUUACUCUGUUGCCCUGAAGAAAGCAAGACUUCUAAUUAUUCUAUGUGUGUAAGGAAAUACUCUUGACUUCCAAGGAAUACUCUUAAUGCCAUAAUGGUAUCUUAUUUGAACUGGUCCAUGGAGAUUGAAAACAAAAUACUCCACAGCUUUCCUGAAGGAAAAAAAAUACAUAUAUAAUCUUUUUUUUUUUUUUUUGCAGCAAGCCAAAAAAAAAUUUUUUUUACAUUUGUCAACUUUGAACAUGAAUAUCCAGAACUCUUAGGGUCCAGGAAAAGUGGUGAUAAAACAAAAAUUGUUGGAGUAGUUUAAAAAAAAAAAA
rnacentral:lncRNA from 1 species